GACGAACGCUGGCGGCGCGCCUAACACAUGCAAGUCGAACGAGCGAGAGAGAGCUUGCUUUCUCGAGCGAGUGGCGAACGGGUGAGUAACGCGUGAGGAACCUGCCUCAAAGAGGGGGACAACAGUUGGAAACGACUGCUAAUACCGCAUAAGCCCACGGUGCCGCAUGGCACAGAGGGAAAAGGAGCAAUCCGCUUUGAGAUGGCCCCGCGUCCGAUUAGCUAGUUGGUGAGGUAAUGGCCCACCAAGGCGACGAUCGGUAGCCGGACUGAGAGGUUGAACGGCCACAUUGGGACUGAGACACGGCCCAGACUCCUACGGGAGGCAGCAGUGGGGAAUAUUGCACAAUGGGGGAAACCCUGAUGCAGCGACGCCGCGUGGAGGAAGAAGGUCUUCGGAUUGUAAACUCCUGUUGUUGGGGAAGAUAAUGACGGUACCCAACAAGGAAGUGACGGCUAACUACGUG
rnacentral:rRNA from 1 species